rfam:Paraglaciecola sp. S66 Contig18, whole genome shotgun sequence.
UUUCGGUCCCCUCGCAAUGAUAGUUUGUGAACCCGGUCAGGCCUGGAAGGGAGCAGCCGCAGCAAAGGACUCAUGUGCCGAGGUGUGGCUGAAGGGU